ACGGGUGAGUAACACGUGGGAACGUGCCCUUUGGUUCGGAACAACUCAGGGAAACUUGAGCUAAUACCGGAUGUGCCCUUCGGGGGAAAGAUUUAUCGCCAUUGGAGCGGCCCGCGUAGGAUUAGCUAGUUGGUGGGGUAAAGGCCCACCAAGGCUACGAUCCUUAGCUGGUCUGAGAGGAUGAUCAGCCACAUUGGGACUGAGACACGGCCCAAACUCCUACGGGAGGCAGCAGUGGGGAAUCUUGCGCAAUGGGCGAAAGCCUGACGCAGCCAUGCCGCGUGAAUGAUGAAGGUCUUAGGAUUGUAAAAUUCUUUCACCGGGGACGAUAAUGACGGUACCCGGAGAAGAAGCCCCGGCUAACUUCGUGCCAGCAGCCGCGGUAAUACGAAGGGGGCUAGCGUUGCUCGGAAUUACUGGGCGUAAAGGGAGCGUAGGCGGAUAGUUUAGUCAGAGGUGAAAGCCCAGGGCUCAACCUUGGAAUUGCCUUUGAUACUGGCUAUCUUGAGUACGGAAGAGGUAUGUGGAACUCCGAGUGUAGAGGUGAAAUUCGUAGA
rnacentral:rRNA from 12 species